rnacentral:rRNA from 1 species
GACCAACCUCGCCCCAUGCUCCAGAAUAGCUCUUGGAAACGGGUGGUAAUGCUGGAUGCUCCAACUUGACGCAUGUCUUGUUGGGAAGUGUUUAGUGGCAUGGGAUGGGGUCGCGUCCUAUCAGCUUGUAGGCGGGGGUAAUGGCCCACCUAGGCUUCGACGGGUAGCCGGCCCUGAGAGGGCGGACGGCCACAUUGGGACUGAGAUACGGCCCAGACUCCUACGGGAGGCAGCAGUU